GAUGAACGCUGGCGGCGUGCCUAAUACAUGCAAGUCGAGCGAACGGACGGGAAGCUUGCUUUUCUGAUGUUAGCGGCGGACGGGUGAGUAACACGUGGAUAACCUACCUAUAAGACUGGGAUAACUUCGGGAAACCGGAGCUAAUACCGGAUAAUAUUUUGAACCGCAUGGUUCAAAAGUGAAAGACGGUCUUGCUGUCACUUAUAGAGGGAUCCGCGCUGCAUUAGCUAGUUGGUAAGGUAACGGCUUACCAAGGCAACGAUGCAUAGCCGACCUGAGAGGGUGAUCGGCCACACUGGAACUGAGACACGGUCCAGACUCCUACGGGAGGCAGCAGUAGGGAAUCUUCCGCAAUGGGCGAAAGCCUGACGGAGCAACGCCGCGUGAGUGAUGAAGGUCUUCGGAUCGUAAAACUCUGUUAUUAGGGAAGAACAUAUGUGUAAGUAACUGUGCACAUCUUGACGGUACCUAAUCAGAAAGCCACGGCUAACUACGUG
rnacentral:rRNA from 1 species